UACGAAGGGGGCUAGCGUUGCUCGGAAUUACUGGGCGUAAAGCGCACGUAGGCGGCUUUCUAAGUCGGGGGUGAAAUCCUGGAGCUCAACUCCAGAACUGCCUUCGAUACUGGAAAGCUCGAGUCCGGGAGAGGUGAGUGGAACUGCGAGUGUAGAGGUGAAAUUCGUAGAUAUUGGGUGGAACACCGGUGGCGAAAGCGGCUCUCUGGCCCGGUUCUGACGCUGAGGCGCGAAAGCGUGGGGAGCAAACAGG
rnacentral:rRNA from 1 species